rnacentral:tmRNA from 1 species
GGGGGUGUAAAGGUUUCGACGGGGGUGUAGAAACAAGAUAAGCGAGCCGCAGUUUGCCAAGUCUGCGUUAAAAAUGGCACGUUAAAUAUAAACGCUAAAAAUAACAAUAAUUACGCAUUUGCAGCAUAGCUGCCUGCCGCAUAAAGCGGCCGCGUCGUCGGCUCUGAUUUACCUGUAGGUCAGAAUCCCGGCGUCAAUUAUACAGGAAAACUCUGUGCCUGCUCCCGGAAGUACAGGGGAAUGACGGGAUAGCUGAGCUUGAAGCCUGCCGCGGGGCGUCUUGCUUGGCGAAGUUUAAAUCAGCGGCUGCGCUCGGAGAAAUUCUUGCGGAAAUGCUUUCGGACAGGAGUUCGACUCUCCUCAUCUCCACCA